rnacentral:misc_RNA from 1 species
GAUGAAGAACGCAGCGAAAUGCGAUAAGUAAUGCGAAUUGCAGAAUUUCCGUGAGUCAUCGAAUCUUUGAACGCACAUUGCGCCCGCGAGUAUUCUCGCGGGCAUGCCUGUCCGAGCGUCAUUUCAACCCUCAGGGCCCGCCUGCUUCGGCAGGCGCGGCGCUGGUGUUGGGGAUCGGCCUAACCGCCGUCCCCCAAAUACAGUGGCGGUCUCGCUGCAGCCUCCCCUGCGUAGUAGCAACACUCGCAUGCGGAGCGCGGCGCGGCCACGCCGUAAAACCCCCGACUUUCUGAACGUUGACCUCGGAUCAGGUAGGAAUACCCGCUGAACUUAAGCAUAUCAAUAAGCGGAGGA